rnacentral:tRNA from 1 species
GCCCGGAUGGUGGAAUCGGUAGACACAAGGGGUUUAAAAUCCCUCGGCGUUCGCGCUGUGCGGGUUCAAGUCCCGCUCCGGGUACCA